rnacentral:rRNA from 1 species
UACGUAGGGUGCGAGCGUUGUCCGGAAUUACUGGGCGUAAAGAGCUCGUAGGUGGUUUGUCGCGUUGUUCGUGAAAACUCACAGCUCAACUGUGGGCGUGCGGGCGAUACGGGCAGACUGGAGUACUGCAGGGGAGACUGGAAUUCCUGGUGUAGCGGUGGAAUGCGCAGAUAUCAUGAGGAAGACCAGUGGCGAAGGCGGGUCUCUGGACAGUUCCUGACGCUGAGGCACGAAGGUCAGGGGAGCAAACGGG